rnacentral:tRNA from 1 species
GAUGGUGUAGCUCAGUGGUAGAGCGUGUGCUUAGCAUGCAGGAGGUCCUGGGUUCAAUCCCCAGUACCUCCA